GACGAACGCUGGCGGCGUGCCUAAUACAUGCAAGUCGAGCGAAUCUUGAGGUGCUUGCACCUCUUGGUUAGCGGCGGACGGGUGAGUAACACGUGGGCAACCUGCCUGUAAGACUGGGAUAACACCGGGAAACCGGUGCUAAUACCGGAUAAUCCUUUUCCUCUCAUGAGGAAAGACUGAAAGUCGGUUUCGGCUGACACUUACAGAUGGGCCCGCGGCGCAUUAGCUAGUUGGUGAGGUAACGGCUCACCAAGGCGACGAUGCGUAGCCGACCUGAGAGGUGAUCGGCCACACUGGGACUGAGACACGGGCCCAGACUCCUACGGGAGGCAGCAGUAGGGAAUCUUCCGCGAAUGGACGAAAGUCUGACGGAGCAACGCCGCGUGAGCGA
rnacentral:rRNA from 1 species